CCAUACCGCACUCACGUUGGAACGACCGAGUGCACCAAACGCUCCGGCGCUGCAGGAUGUGGCUGCGGCCGAUUAGGUAGACGGUGGGGUAACGGCCCACCGUGCCGAUAAUCGGUACGGGUUGUGAGAGCAAGAGCCCGGAGACGGAAUCUGAGACAAGAUUCCGGGCCCUACGGGGCGCAGCAGGCGCGAAACCUUUACACUGCACGACAGUGCGAUAAGGGGACCCCAAGUGCGAGGGCAUACAGUCCUCGCUUUUGUGUACCGUAAGGUGGUACACGAAUAAGAGCUGGGCAAGACCGGUGCCAGCCGCCGCGGUAAUACCGGCAGCUCGAGUGAUGACCGAUUUUAUUGGGCCUAAAGCGUCCGUAGCUGGCCGCGUAGGUUCGUCGGGAAAUCCAUCCGCUCAACGGAUGGGCGUCCGGCGAAAACCACGUGGCUUGGGACCGGAAGGCUCGAGGGGUACGUCCGGGGUAGGAGUGAAAUCCCGUAAUCCUGGACGGACCGCCGAUGGCGAAAGCACCUCGAGAAGACGGAUCCGACAGUGAGGGACGAAAGCUGGGGUCUCGAACCGGAUUAGAUACCCGGGUAGUCCCAGCCGUAAACAAUGCCUGUUAGGUGUGGCACCGACUACGAGUCGGUGCUGUGCCGUAGGGAAGCCGAUAAACUGGCCGCCUGGGAAGUACGUCCGCAAGGAUGAAACUUAAAGGAAUUGGCGGGGGAGCACUACAACCGGAGGAGCCUGCGGUUUAAUUGGACUCAACGCCGGACAUCUCACCAGCAUCGACUGUAGCAAUGAUCAUCAGGUUGAUGACCUCUAUGUUGAGCUACAGAGAGGAGGUGCAUGGCCGCCGUCAGCUCGUACCGUGAGGCGUCCUGUUAAGUCAGGCAACGAGCGAGACCCGCACUCUUAAUUGCCAGCAUCGCGUUCGCGCGGAUGGGUACAUUAGGAGGACUGCCGCUGCUAAAGCGGAGGAAGGAACGGGCAACGGUAGGUCAGUAUGCCCCGAAUGUGCUGGGCUACACGCGGGCUACAAUGGCCGAGACAAUGGGUUCCUACCUCGAAAGAGGAUGGUAAUCUCAGAAACUCGGUCGUAGUUCGGAUUGAGGGUUGAAACUCACCCUCAUGAAGCUGGAUUCGGUAGUA
rnacentral:rRNA from 1 species